UGGACAUAGAGGGGUCCCCGGCGUACACGAUCCGGGCCAUUCUGGACUCAAGACGCCGGAAAGGUAAGGUAUCCAUGAAGAUUUUGUCUACGAUGGGCGGUGGGGGAACCAGGUCCUCCAGCUUCAGGUAGAAGAUGCGCUGCAGGCCCUGGGUGCAGAGGGUGCGCAGCUCAGGGAGCUUCCCCAGUAGUCGGGACAGGAAGUUGGGCUGGAGCCUCCCCGCAUCGGAGCCACUGCUGGUCACAUGGUCCCUCAGACAGGUGAUGAGGCAGUUCUGGAACUCCUCCACCCGUUUGGGCUCUUUAAGGCCAUGGCGAUCUGAGGAGAAACCACAAGGAGAAACAUCUUGAUGAGAAACGUGAAUGGGCAUUUCACUGUACCAUUUACAACUGCUGUGCAUUGCUGCAAGGCAGGCGAAUGAGGACACGUCCAGGUUCAUGCGGUGGAGGCUCUGGGAGAAGUCCAUGAUGGAGUCGAUCCAGUCGCCAAAGCCUCGCACACACUGCAUACGGUGAAGUACCACACCGUUGCAGAAGAUCAGCUUGUCUUUCUCAGGACUCGACCUAGACACAGAACAGUCUUAACAUAUAUUGUAGAAACAUUGGGCACACAUUUGUGUUUUUUACAGAGUAAAUGUAUGCAUCCCAAAUAGCACUAUUCCCUAUUUACUGCAAUACUUUUGACCAGGGCCCAUAGGGAAUAAGGUGCCAUUUGGGAUGCAGACAAUGGUUACAGUGGUAAUUAUACCUGUAUGCUAGCCGGAGGAUAAAGAGUUCCACGAAAGCAGAUUCCAGGAGCAGCUCCUGGUCUUCCGGGCAGAAGGCGGUGAAUUCUGGGAUGGUCUCGGCCCAUUUCCGAAUCACAUCCAUGGUGCCUGUCAGCAGGUCGUAGAACUGCUGGAUGUCAUUGGCAUCCUCUUUCUCUGAUAGGCUGGCCACCGUCUCCUGGUACUGAGGAGUGGAUAGAUGAAAGAAAGGGAUGAAUCACUGCCUCUUAUGUCCUUCUCUUCACAACAUGUAGUGUGAAAUGGGAUCGAGAUCACUGCAAUCAAAGAAGCUUAAUUACAUAACUAUAUUAUAGCGAGAAGCUUAACUUUAACAGCAGCAACUGGCUAAAUUCUGAGAGAGAUUCAGACAACUAAUAAUAUGAUGUUCCAUGAGUCACAUGUCUGGAGGUCCUACCUUGGAGUAGUCCAGCUUUCCGAUGGCGGGGUUGGAGUCUAUGUGAGCCCUGACAAGAGAGGCGAUGAUGUUGACGGGUGGGGUGGUGGACACUGACUCUAGCACUGUCUUGGAUUUAGAGGGCAGACGACCCCUGCGACCUUUCAGGCUGUCUGUGCGGACAACUGUAAGUGAGAGAAAAAAAUAAUACUCUCACUGACUGUACCUGUCUGAGAUUCUCAUGUGACUGUCACCAUAAGCCUCCGUUUCACUGAAUAACGACUAUAUCCAUUUCAGUUGAUAUUUUUAUACGACUGGGCACAGUAAACUUGCCUAGUUAAAUAAAGGUUAAAUAAAAUAAAAAAGCUUCAGUUUCA